rnacentral:rRNA from 1 species
GUGGAUUAGAUACCCUUGUAGUCCACGCCGUAAACGAUGGGCACUAGGCGUCGGGGGGAGCGACCCUCCCGGUGCCGUCGCUAACGCUGUAAGUGCCCCGCCUGGGGAGUACGGCCGCAAGGCUGAAACUCAAAGGAAUUGACGGGGGCCCGCACAAGCGGUGGAGCAUGUGGUUUAAUUCGAAGCAACGCGAAGAACCUUACCUGGGCUUGACAUGCAUGAGUAAGCCGGUGGAAACACCGGGCCUCCUUCGGGACUCUUGCACAGGUGCUGCACGGCCGUCGCCAGCU